GGAGGCUUAGCUCAGCUGGUAGAGCAGCUGACUCUUAAUCAGCGGGUCGGGGGUUCGAAUCCCCCAGCCUCUA
rnacentral:tRNA from 1 species